CCGCUUGUAGUCUAGUGGUUAACACGCUUCAGCUCUAAACAAUAGGUCCGGGGUUCGAUUCCUUGCAAGAUGA